UUCUUUUUUAAGUUUCAAGGACAAACUUCCGGUUGACCUACUUUGUUACGACUUAUCUUGAAUCAAGAGCGACGGGCGAUUUGUGCAUGCCUUAUUCCUAGUUCAAAAGAAGAUUCUUUCUUCCCUACUUUACUUUUAAGUCCGCUCUCAUAAAGUUUCUCAAUCUUAAUCCAGAGGUUUUCCUUGUGUAUCCCACUAAGCCCCUAAACAUUUGCUCUGUAUUGAUUUGUAUUAUCCCUUAGGUAAGAUUUUUAGCCCAUUCUUAGAAUCUAACUUUUACACAAUGAUAUAGAAGCUUAUAAUUCCGGUAGGAAUUAAUCGUGGGCUAUCUAUUACGGAGCAGGAUCCCCUAUUUAGACUAGGCACCGCCAAUUUCCGAACUUUCAUUUAUUUAAUUACUC
rnacentral:lncRNA from 1 species